rnacentral:piRNA from 1 species
UGCUAGACACUCAGGUUUACAGUGAAUUA